rnacentral:rRNA from 1 species
GACAGAGGGUGCAAACGUUGUUCGGAUUUACUGGGCGUAAAGCGCGUGUAGGCGGCGUCGUAAGUUGGAUGUGAAAUCCCACGGCUCAACCGUGGACGUGCAUCCAAAACUACGUCGCUGGAGUCUCGGAGAGGAAGGUGGAAUGCUUGGUGUAGAGGUGAAAUUCGUAGAUAUCAAGCAGAACACCUGCGGCGAAGGCGGCCUUCUGGACGAUGACUGACGCUGAGACGCGAAAGCGUGGGGAGCAAACAGG